AGAGUUUGAUCAUGGCUCAGAACGUACGCUGGCGGCACGCCUAACACAUGCAAGUCGAACGCAGUAGCAAUACUGAGUGGCGAACGGGUGAGUAUAAUGUGGGUAUCUGCCUUUUGGUUUGGAAUAACACGAGGAAACUUGUGCUAAUACCGGAUAAGCCCUUACGGGGAAAGUUUUAACGCCGAAAGAUGAGCCCGCACUUGAUUAGCUAGUUGGUAAGGUAAUGGCUUACCAAGGCUACGAUCAAUAGCUGAUCUGAGAGGAUGAUCAGCCACAUUGGGACUGAGACACGGCCCAAACUCCUACGGGAGGCAGCAGUGGGGAAUCUUGCACAAUGGGGGAAACCCUGAUGCAGCGAUGCCGCGUGAGUGAAGAAGGCCCUUGGGUUGUAAAGCUCUUUCGUCGGGGAAGAAAAUGACUGUACCCGAAUAAGAAGGUCCGGCUAACUUCGUGCCAGCAGCCGCGGUAAUACGAAGGGACCUAGCGUAGUUCGGAAUUACUGGGCUUAAAGAGCACGUAGGUGGUUAGAAAAGUUGGUGGUGAAAUCCCAAGGCUUAACCUUGGAACUGCCAUCAAAACUUUUUAACUAGAGUGUGAUAGAGGUAAGCGGAAUUUCUAGUGUAGAGGUGAAAUUCGUAGAUAUUAGAAAGAACACCAAUUGCGAAGGCAGCUUUCUGGAUCACUACUGACACUGAGGUGCGAAAGCAUGGGUAGCGAAGAGGAUUAGAUACCCUCGUAGUCCAUGCUGUAAACGAUGUGUGCUAGACGUUGGAAAUUUAUUUUUCAGUGUCGCAGCAAAAGCGUUAAGCACACCGCCUGGGGAGUACGACCGCAAGGUUAAAACUCAAAUGAAUUGACGGGGACCCGCACAAGCAGUGGAGCAUGUGGUUUAAUUCGAAGAUACGCGCAGAACCUUACCAACACUUGACAUGUUCGUCGCGACUCUAAGAGAUUAGAGUUUUCGGUUCGGCCGGACGAAACACAGGUGCUGCAUGGCUGUCGUCAGCUCGUGUCGUGAGAUGUUGGGUUAAGUCCCGCAACGAGCGCAACCCCUACUUUUAGUUGCUACCAUUCAGUUGGGCACUCUAAAGGAACUGCCAGUGAUAAGCUGGAGGAAGGUGGGGAUGACGUCAAGUCCUCAUGGCCCUUACGUGUUGGGCUACACACGUGCUACAAUGGUACUUACAGUGAGAAGCGAAGAGGCGACUCUAAGCCAAUCCCAAAAAGGUACCUCAGUUCGGAUUGUACUCUGCAACUCGAGUGCAUGAAGCUGGAAUUGCUAGUAAUCGCGGAUCAGCGCGCCGCGGUGAAUACGUUCCCGGGUCUUGUACACACCGCCCGUCACACCAUGGAAGUUGGUUACACCUUAAGGCAAAGCCUAAAAACUUUGACUACGGUACGAUCAGCGACUGGGGUGAAGUCGUAACAAGGUAGCCGUAGGGGAACCUGCGGCUG
rnacentral:rRNA from 1 species